rfam:Gossypium raimondii chromosome 6, whole genome shotgun sequence.
CGCAGGAUAGAGCAGUUUGGUAGCUCGAGGGCUCAUAACCUUGAGGUCAUGGGUUCAAAUCCUGUUCUCGUAA